rnacentral:misc_RNA from 1 species
AGAAGAGUCACUGCUGUUAAGGCCGUCGUCUCUUGGCCGCCGCCUUGGGUUCCAGUACUAACAAAGAAUCCGGCAGGAAUUCCGGCCAGCCUCUGAUCCUCCCAAAGAUCAAUCGUCGAAUCAAAAAACGACUUCAUCUGCGCCGCCAUGGAUCCAUACCUCGUCGGAAAUCCAAACAAGAAUCCGUCCGCCUCCACCAUCUCCUCCACGGAAAUCACCGGCACGCCGUCGUCCUUCGGCGGAACUCUCAUCUGCUCCA